rnacentral:rRNA from 1 species
AGUGAACGCUGGCGGUAGGCCUAACACAUGCAAGUCGAACGGCAGCACAGUAAGAGCUUGCUCUUACGGGUGGCGAGUGGCGGACGGGUGAGGAAUACAUCGGAAUCUACUUUUUCGUGGGGGAUAACGUAGGGAAACUUACGCUAAUACCGCAUACGACCUACGGGUGAAAGCAGGGGAUCUUCGGACCUUUCGCGAUUGAAUGAGCCGAUGUCGGAUUAGCUAGUUGGCGGGGUAAAGGCCCACCAAGGCGACGAUCCGUAGCUGGUCUGAGAGGAUGAUCAGCCACACUGGAACUGAGACACGGUCCAGACUCCUACGGGAGGCAGCAGUGGGGAAUAUUGGACAAUGGGCGCAAGCCUGAUCCAGCCAUACCGCGUGGGUGAAGAAGGCCUUCGGGUUGUAAAGCCCUUUUGUUGGGAAAGAAAAGCAGCAGGUUAAUACCCCGCUGUUCUGACGGUACCGAAAGAAUAAGCACCGGCUAACUUCGUG